rnacentral:rRNA from 1 species
CCUCGGGCGGCAGCAGUAGGGAAUAUUGGACAAUGGGCGAAAGCCUGAUCCAGCCAUGCCGCGUGUGUGAAGAAGGCCUUCGGGUUGUAAAGCACUUUCAGUGGGGAAGAAAGCCUUGGGGCUAAUACCCUCGAGGAAGGACAUCACCCACAGAAGAAGCACCGGCUAACUCCGUGCCAGCAGCCGCGGUAAUACGGAGGGUGCGAGCGUUAAUCGGAAUUACUGGGCGUAAAGCGCGCGUAGGCGGUCUGAUAAGCCGGUUGUGAAAGCCCCGGGCUCAACCUGGGAACGGCAUCCGGAACUGUCAGGCUAGAGUGCAGGAGAGGAAGGUAGAAUUCCCGGUGUAGCGGUGAAAUGCGUAGAGAUCGGGAGGAAUACCAGUGGCGAAGGCGGCCUUCUGGACUGACACUGACGCUGAGGUGCGAAAGCGUGGGUAGCAAACAGGAUUAGAUACCCUAGUAGUC